GUGGUUGCUCGGCGUCGUGGUUCCGGUGGUAUGUUAAUUGUGAAGAUGGGUAGAUACGCAUAUGGUUGAAGAGAGGGGCGAUGAUCGUACUGCCAGCAUAAUCUAUCAUCGUGCUUGUUCGAAUUUCAACAAUUGCAUAAGAUGACUUGAGAUCCCCGAGUCAGAAAUUUUCAGAAGCUUUCGGUGAUUUGUGUCUUUUCAGAAGUUCUCAGAAUCGGAAAAUAAAGCACGUAUUUACUUUUGGAACAACAUAGGUACGAUGAAUGAAAACCAAAUUGUUGUUAGGCAUGAAUCAGAAGGUGGCAAGACUCCCACAACGGGUGACGAAUCACAAGAUGUUAGUACGAUUACAAAGACCAUUAAA